rnacentral:rRNA from 1 species
UUUCGCACGUACGCGCGCGGGAGCCUUGGAAAGCAGCUGGCAACAGCGGUUGGACGACUUGAGAAUAAACAAUACCAACCCUCGUGCUAGUCGAUCGUCCCGGACGAUCGGCGACACUUUCGAAAUGACGGGGAAGUCCUAAAGCCCUCCACACCAAACCAGCCGGGGAAACCCGCUGGCGGCCCAAGGGAAAGCCUUGGGGUACGGUAACAGCUGGAGAGGGAUGCAACAAUGGACCACCCGCAGCGAAGCCCCUGUGCCUUGCGGCUGGGGAACGUUCACAGGCCAAGCGGAAGUGGGUGGGGUCGCGACCCCGCUUAAGAUAUGGUCGGACCUCGGCGGAAACGCCGGGGAGGCGAGACGUUCCGUAGGUGAACCUGCGGAAGGAUCAUUA